rnacentral:rRNA from 1 species
UAAUAUAUCGGAACGUACCCAAGAGUGGGGGAUAACGUAGCGAAAGUUACGCUAAUACCGCAUACGAUCCAAGGAUGAAAGCAGGGGAUCUUCGGACCUUGUGCUCCUGGAGCGGCCGAUAUCUGAUUAGCUAGUUGGUGAGGUAAAGGCUCACCAAGGCCACGAUCAGUAGCUGGUCUGAGAGGACGACCAGCCACACUGGAACUGAGACACGGUCCAGACUCCUACGGGAGGCAGCAGUGGGGAAUUUUGGACAAUGGGCGAAAGCCUGAUCCAGCAAUGCCGCGUGAGUGAAGAAGGCCUUCGGGUUGUAAAGCUCUUUUGUCAGGGAAGAAACGGUGAGGGCUAAUAUCCUUCGCUAAUGACGGUACCUGAAGAAUAAGCACCGGCUAACUACGUGCCAGCAGCCGCGGUAAUACGUAGGGUGCAAGCGUUAAUCGGAAUUACUGGGCGUAAAGCGUGCGCAGGCGGUUUUGUAAGUCUGACGUGAAAUCCCCGGGCUCAACCUGGGAAUUGCGUUGGAGACUGCAAGGCUAGAAUCUGGCAGAG